rnacentral:rRNA from 1 species
UACGUAGGGUGCAAGCGUUUGUCCGGAAUUAUUGGGCGUAAAGAGCUCGUAGGCGGUCUGUCACGUCGGCUGUGAAAACCCGAGGCUUAACUUGGGAACUGCGUCCGAUACUGGAUGGCUUGAAUCCGGGAGAGGGAUGCGGAAUUCCAGGUGUAGCGGUGAAAUGCGUAGAUAUCAGGAGGAACACCGAUGGCGAAGGCAGGUCACUGGGCCGCAACUGACGCUGAGGAGCGAAAGCAUGGGGAGCGAACAGG